GCUUAAAUAGUUUAAUUUAAAACGUUGACUUGUGGUGUCAUUGAUGUAAAGUUUACUUUGGGUC
rnacentral:tRNA from 1 species